AUUGAACGCUGGCGGCAUGCCUUACACAUGCAAGUCGAACGGCAGCACGGGUGCUUGCACCUGGUGGCGAGUGGCGAACGGGUGAGUAAUACAUCGGAACAUGUCCUGGAGUGGGGGAUAGCCCGGCGAAAGCCGGAUUAAUACCGCAUACGAUCUACGGAUGAAAGCGGGGGACCUUCGGCCCUCGCGCUGUUGGGUUGGCCGAUGGCUGAUUAGCUAGUUGGUGGGGUAAAGGCCUACCAAGGCGACGAUCAGUAGCUGGUCUGAGAGGACGACCAGCCACACUGGGACUGAGACACGGCCCAGACUCCUACGGGAGGCAGCAGUGGGGAAUUUUGGACAAUGGGCGAAAGCCUGAUCCAGCAAUGCCGCGUGUGUGAAGAAGGCCUUCGGGUUGUAAAGCACUUUUGUCCGGAAAGAAAUCCUUGGCCCUAAUACGGUCGGGGGAUGACGGUACCGGAAGAAUAAGCACCGGCUAACUACGUG
rnacentral:rRNA from 1 species